rnacentral:rRNA from 1 species
GUUGACCUACGGGAGGCAGCAGUGGGGAAUAUUGCACAAUGGGGGAAACCCUGAUGCAGCGACGCCGCGUGAGCGAAGAAGUAUUUCGGUAUGUAAAGCUCUAUCAGCAGGGAAGAAAAAGGACGGUACCUGCAGAAGAAGCCACGGCUAACUACGUGCCAGCAGCCGCGGUAAUACGUAGGUGGCAAGCGUUAUCCGGAAUUACUGGGUGUAAAGGGGGUGUAGGCGGGGGUGCAAGUCAGAUGUGAAAAUUAUGGGCUCAACCCAUAACCUGCGUCUGAAACUGUAGCUCUU